rnacentral:rRNA from 1 species
GAGACCCCAGAUCAGGUGGGACUAC